UACGAAGGGGGCUAGCGUUGCUCGGAAUCACUGGGCGUAAAGCGCACGUAGGCGGAUUGUUAAGUCAGGUGUGAAAUCCUGGAGCUCAACUCCAGAACUGCCUUUGAUACUGACGAUCUCGAGUCCGGGAGAGGUGAGUGGAACUGCGAGUGUAGAGGUGAAAUUCGUAGAUAUUCGCAAGAACACCAGUGGCGAAGGCGGCUCACUGGCCCGGUACUGACGCUGAGGUGCGAAAGCGUGGGGAGCAAACAGG
rnacentral:rRNA from 1 species